rnacentral:misc_RNA from 1 species
GAUGAAGAACGCAGUGAAAUGCGAUACGUAAUGUGAAUUGCAGAAUUCAGUGAAUCAUCGAGUCUUUGAACGCACAUUGCGCCCCCUGGUAUUCCGGGGGGCAUGCCUGUCCGAGCGUCUUUGCUGCCCUCAAGCACGGCUUGUGUGUUGGGCCUCCGUCCUCCUCCCGGGGGACGGGCCCGAAAGGCAGCGGCGGCACCGCGUCCGGUCCUCGAGCGUAUGGGGCUUCGUCACCCGCUCUUGUAGGCCCGGCCGGCGCUUGCCGACACAUCAAUCUUUUUUCCAGGUUGACCUCGGAUCAGGUAGGGAUACCCGCUGAACUUAAGCAUAUCAAUAAGCAGAGGA